UACGGCCAUAUCACGAUGACACACCGGUUCCUGUACGAUCACCGAAGUUAAGCAGCGUCGAACCUGGUCAGUACCUAGAUGGGUGUCAGCUU